rnacentral:rRNA from 1 species
CUAGCCCAACUUAUCACUAACUCAAUUAUCACAGUCACAUAAAUCCAAAACAUUUAAUCACAUUAUUACAGUAUAGGAGAUAGAAAUUCUACUUGGAGCUAUAGAGAAAGUACCGCAAGGGAGCGAUGAAAGAAAAAUUCAAAGUAAUAAACAGCAAAGAUUACACCUUAUACCUUUUGCAUAAUGAGCUAGCUAGAAUAAUUCAGCAAAGAGAUCUUAAGCUAAAUCCCCCGAAACCAGACGAGCUACCUACGAACAAUCCACAGGGAUACACUCAUCUAUGUCGCAAAAUAGUGAGAAGAUUCAUAGGUAGAGGUGAAAAGCCUAACGAGCCUGGUGAUAGCUGGUUGCCCAGAACAGAAUCUCAGUUCAACUUUAAAUUUACCUAAUAACCCCCAAAUUGUAAUGUAAAUUUAAAAUAUAGUCUAAAAAGGUACAGCUUUUUAGAAUAAGGAUACAACCUUGCUUAGAGAGUAAAAUUAAACAUAA